CACAAGAGAAAUCAACAGAGCAGGAGGAAAUUGGCUUAUUUCACAGAGAGGCACUUGGAGCAACCAGGCAGCCCAAAGCCCCUGGGAAGCCAGGCAAAGGACCACCUAGGUCAUAACUGCAUCCUCUCUGCUGUUGUCACUCUUUGGAGAAAAGUGUUUUCAGGACCCAGUCCUCAGACCCAUUCACACCUGAGCCAACUCCAUCAGAGGAGAGGGAGGAUGGGACCUUACCAGGCUAUGGGGUCUCGAAGGUGAGCUGCUGGAGCAAGGGAUGGAGGACUAGUAAGACUGUUUGUUCUAAACUCUAGGGGAAGGAUGUUUGAAGGUUGUUGCUGAGUUAGUCUUUAGAAACUUACUGACACUCACCUUGGCCAGCCCCAAAGAUUACUGAGACAUAAUUCCUGCCCCAGAUGGCUCAUAGUCUAGCAAAAGAGGAUGUUAAAGCUUUCUAGGUUGGGAUCUUGUAGAGGAAAGAAAAUACAAGUAGAGACAGAGAAGUACAAACAAAGCCCGCUGGUGUGGAGUGUAGUUGAAGGGAGAGUGCAUUGGCCAGAGAGUUGGAAGAGCUGAUUUCAUUUUUUGAAAUACGUAUUGAGAAGUUCAGAUAGUUGCGGUACGAUGGGAGUGGAAGGAGAUGAGGCUGGAGAGGUAGGUUACAAGAGGGGACUUGGUUUGGAAGACCACGUCUCUACAGUGGAACAUUUACUGAGUUAAGGAACACAGGUUGAGCAAGCAGACCUGUGAGUGAAGAUGACAUGCUUAGGUUUGCCCAAGUUGAGGCUGAAAUGCAGAGUGGGCUCCAUUCGCUCUGUGUUUGCCACAUCCUUAGUCUUUCUGAGGAAGGUGGCUCUAGACCUAUAGUCCUCAUACAGGACUCUCUAUGAAUAGUAAUCAGCAGAUUUAAUCACAUCCUCGUUUGGGAAGUUUGGAUCUAAGAGAUAAACAGCAGAAUGGCCUGGAAGUUGAGAGAAAUGCAGAAAAUGGGAUCACACCUGUAAUCCCAGCACUUUGGGUGGCGGAGGUGGGAGGAUUGCUUGAGUUCAAGAUUAGCCUUAGCCGACAGUGAGACCCUGUCUCUACAAAAAAAUAUUUUAAAAAAAGAGCUGGAUGUGGUGGUAUGUACCUAUAGUUCUAGCUACUUGGGAGGCUGAGGCAGGAAGAUUGCUUGAGCCCAGGAGUUUGAGGCUGCAGCGAGCUAUAAUCAUGCCACUGAACUCCAGCCUGGGUGACAGACUGAGACCCUGUCUCCAAAAAGAAGAAAAGAAAAAGCAGCAGCAGCAGUAGCUAUGGGGUUUUUCUCGUGCUGUUCUUGUGAUAGUGAAUAAGUCUCAUGAGAUCUGAUGGUUUUAUAAAUGGCAGCACCCCUGCACGUGCUCUUUUGCCUGCUGCCUCCUAAGACAUGCCUUUGUUCUUCCUUCGCCUUCUGCCAUGAUCGUGAGGCCUCCCCAGCCAUGUAGAACUGAGCCCAUUAAACCUCUUUGCUUUAUAAAUUACCCAGUCUUGGGGAUGUCCUUAUAGCAGCAUGAGAACGGACUAAUACAGAUACUUAGUAGCCAAAAAUAGUAAAUAUCCUCUUCUGAGAUCAGUUAGGUCUCCCUCCAGCCUAGGUCAAUAAAAUCCUUCACAUUAUUCAAUCCAGCACAAUCAGAGGCCAGAACCUCAGAGAAAGAAAGUGUGCAUUGUUUGGGCUUAUUCUCUGGGCUCAUAUUUCUUUCAAAGGCUUGGGGAGAAGGGAUGGGCAGUAGUCGCUGUGGCAGGACAGGUUUCAGAUCUCAGGAAUUUUGGGCAUCCUCCAAAUUCCAUUAUCCCCAACAAGACUCAACUCAUCACAGUUGGCAAACAACCCUGGCCAAGACAGCUCCAAGUUGAGAACUGAAGGGUGAGUAGCUGAUAGGCAAGUGAGGGGAGGUGGUUAGAAUAUUCUAGGAUAUGCGAAGGCUUGAUGCAUUUGGGUAACUGAAAUCGAUUCCAUAUGGCUGGGAAGGUAAGCACAGGAAAUACUGGGAUGCCAUGAACUAGAGAGGAAGGUGUCUUAGGGAGUUUGGAUUUUAUACUGAGGACAGAGGGAUGCCAUUGAUGUGCUUUAAUCUGGGGAAUAUUAGUUUCAUGAUGAUGACGGCUUUGUUUUGCUCACUACCAUAUCCCUAGCACCUAACACUCCAUAGGUACUCAGCAAACAACUGGAAAUGAAUGAACGGAUGACUGCUGUGCAGAAAAUGUGUCCAGAAUAAUCAGUGAGGAGCUUUAGGUGUCCAUGGAACAUCCAAGUGGAGGCUUCAGCUGUUGCCAGUCUUUGCCCUGGAGAAGCACACCUAGACCCAGAUGGAUCACAGGUGGAGCUUUAGCCUCCCCUCUGGAGAGCAAUGCCAGGGUCUGUGCCAGCAGGGGCACCUGAGCCCAGUGUGCUGGGACCCUGACCCAGUCUCUGCUCUUGAGUCUGCCAUUCAAUAUCUGCGAAUCCUGGAGAAGAAGCCCCAGGAAGUAUGGACUGGAAGACUGGGGAGGCAGGCCCUCCAAGAAGACAGUAGCAUCCCCUGAUGUGGCAUCCACCUUCCUCUAGUGUUUGAGAUGUGGGUGCGACAAGUUGGCAUUGGAAGGAAAUCCCUGUCUGGCUCUUGUGCUACCGUAGACCUGGAACCCUGGAACAAUGCUCUUGUCUUUAGCCCCUCUUCUGCUUUCCCAUUGUUCAAGCCAAGCCUUUUCCAUUUUGCCUCUACAAUGGAAUCUAAGGAUAGAGAAUGGGAUAAUUGGGGAUAUGUGAUUGUCUCCUGAAUCUGAGCCUAUUAAUAUAUCCUUCUAAAGGCAUUGUUCCUACUGACCACCCCAAAGAACUGGAUUCCAUGAGUGUCCAGCAAGUGACUAAGAUUCCAAUUUAGGCCUUCUCUUCUAAGAGCCAGUACCUGGAUAAAAGGCAAAAUUCAACCUGAUAGUCUCUUAUAGCAGUUUAGGGAACCACAACUUGUCAGGAAUACAGGACAGCAGGAUUUUUGUUAGGCCUCAGGUAACACACCGCUGCCUAGGCCUUGCUGCGUCCUGGGAUGCCAGAGGACUUGUUUCCUUAGCUACAAUCAUCAUGUGACAAGAACACACAGAGAUUCGGAGAUGUUGCUUAGCAACCAUGCUGCACCUGCUGGGGCUCUGGGCCAGCAGCUUGGGCCAGGGAGCCUGGCUUUGAACUUGGAAACUCCCAUAAGGGCUGUCAAAAGGAGGAAGACCUAAUUUGGGGAGACUGUUUUGGCCCUGGGCUUUUGCAGAGAUGGUAAAGGUACAGAUGGAGAACUGAGGCUGAGGAAACUGGCUUUCCCAUAGUAAUGGAGAAGGGUGGUGGGCGUGGGAAGAGCAGGACUAGUGGGCAGAGACAGACUGUUGGGCUGAUGUGGGUAGCAGUUCCCUGCCUGACCUACCCUAGAGAAAAUCCUUUUGUCUCAGAGGAUGGGUGUUCAGAACCCUGAGGAGGGAUAUGCCUGGCUCAAGAACCAGUUCCAUAGGGCUUCUUAGGGACCUGAAUCAAGCCAGAGGAUCUGUUCCCUAAGAGUCAGUCCAAGGAGAAUUCCCUUCUGGAAGGGAGCAGAGUGCUUCACAAUGGGUGACAUUGGUGGUGGUCAGGGAGCGCAAUGAAGUAGUAUCAGAAACUGGGCUGUUCAACCACAGGGCCACUGGGGAGCUGUCCAUGGUUUGGGGUAGGCUCCUCACCAGCUCUGGCUGUCUCUCUCACUCUCUGCCAGGGCCCAGUUGAUUUGAUAGGCUGUGGAGUCAGAUUGCCUAGAUUUGAAUCCAACUUCCUCUCCCAGGGGAAAGGGACUAAAUUUUGUGUUUCAGUUUAUCUGUCUGUACAAUGUGGAUGGGGAUCUCAAGGACUGUUGUAAGGACAAAAUGAGUUAAUCACACUUCUUGGCAUAUACUAAAUGGCCAGUAAAACUAUCAUCACCCUCAUCCCCACCCCAAUCCUCACCCCCAGCAACUGGCCCAGGGGACAAAGUCUAUGGCCAGGUAUUCUCCAAUCUUUCUUGAUACCCCUGGAGCACAUGGGAAUAAAUAAUGGCGAGAAUCUAUACCCUCUGCAUUUGCAGAUGGGAGGAGCAUUCCCCUCCCUGCUUGCUGAGGAUUUGAAUAUCCUUAACCAAUUGACUUUGUUUUAGUGAACCAAGUACUCCUCCAACCCUUGAUGCCCCAAAUACCCUAAUAUCUUCACUUUGGUGCUGCUCAUAUUAAAAUUGUACAUAUAGCAUGGCACUUUAGGAGGCAGUGAGAUCAUGGGUUCAGGACUUGAGCUCAAAUCCCAGCUUCUGUUAUAUCCUAACCACGAAAUCUUGAACAAAUUUUAUCUCCUCUCUGAGCCUCAGUUUUCUCAUCUCUAAUACAGGGAAGUGAUAGUACCUAACCUUCUUAGUAUGAGAUAUGCCCAGCUCUUGAUAAAUGUUAGCCAUGUUACCAAAUUUCUCUCUUUGUGGCUUUAUGAACUUUAUGAACUGGCUCCAAGUGAGAAUGUGAGGACCAAGGGGGCUAGUAGAUUCCAACUGUUCCCCUAAGGGGAGAAAGGGAGGAGUUAAAGAAGCUGAUGGUUGAAGUGCCCCCCUCCUCAAUACUCCAACAUGGGACUGGCAGCUGCAAUAGCAUCUUUGUCCUCCUGUGUUUGGACACUGACUAUUCUGCUAUCUGGUGCUGAGGGAAUCCCAGCCAGCCUGCCUUAAGCAUUCUCCCUACCCUCCACUCCAGCCAGUCCGAGGUCCCUCAACACUCCCCCUCUCUCUAAGCCAUGUCAAAUGCUGGCGCCUGCCCUUCCUCCUUUCUCAAAUGAGCUUGUUCCCCAGAUGACCCUACAGCUGCAUGGUUCUAAGAUUAGCUGGAUCCUGCAUUUGACUCUGAUAAUUAAUUACCCAAAUGGAGAAAAUUGAAUAGUUAACUGGUUCACAGGAAGAUAAUUAGCUUUUCUGAGCCCCUGUUACAGGCAAAUAAAGAGGAGGAUUGUUUCUCAAUUGCCUUCAUUAAAGGGAGUCCCUCUCACCCAGGAGCCCUGACCCAGAGGCCCUUGGGGGCCCUGAGGGGUUCUGUAGUGCUCCUGGUGCUUUAUCUCAAAAUAGAGAGGCAGCUGGUACAGUGUAGCCAGCACAGGCUUCAGACUCUAAGCAAGCUUGGGCUCAAGCUCCGCCUCUACCAUGUAUUACCUAUGAGACCUUGGUAUUGCAGUACAACCUCUCUAAGCCUCCCUUUCCUUAUCUGAAUAUGGGAAUAAUGCUGUGUAACUCACAGUGGUGUUAUAAGCAUUAAACUACAUAAUGUCAGUAACAUGCCCUGUUCUGCACUCAUUGAUAGAUUUUUUCAUUGAUAAAGUUCUUCAUAAAGUUUAUUGUUCAUUGAUGAAGUGUUCAUUGAUUGGGAACCAUUUUACCAUGUCAUGAUUGUAGCUCCCAUCAUAGCAUAUGCUCCCAUAUCAUGGAAACAAGGGAAACACAUAUGAAAGCCAGGAGAACAGCAAAUCAAGAUUAAAUCGAGCAUCCUAUGCUGAUUGGUGCAGGGUCUACACACAGGGUGGGGAAGAUUCAUGAAGGUCUUCUUCAGCCUGUUCAACUUGUCUUUGUACUGAUAUUGGCUCUGCCCUUUGAUACUAGGCUUUCUGGGUCACCAUGUGGUCACUCUUCUGUCAGCAGCAAUCCCUCACCAACCCUCUCUCAAGCACAGAGACUCAUCCCCACCUACUUGACUGCAGUCUUUCUAAAAUUUUAUUUACUCUGCCCAAGCCCAGCUCCCUGGAGUGUUUAUCACUCUGACACGUUCAGCACAUAUAGAUACGUAUGUAGAGGUUAAGAGCAUGGGCCCUGAGCCAGACUGCCUGAGUUCAAAUUCAGCUUAGGUACCUACUCUGUUACUUACCUUGUGCCUCAGUUUCCUCAUUAUAAAAUGAGGUUGAUAACAAUAGUACCUAUGUCAUAGAAUUAUUAUGAUUAAAUAAAUGUGAAGUGUUUGGAGUAGUGCCUUGUAAGUGCUCACACGUGUUAUCUAUUAUUAUUAUUCAGUUCUGAAGCUGGAUUAGGACAAGGAGAGGUCUACAGAUUGAGGAAAAAAGGCAGGGCCGGAGGCCUUCACCUGGCUAGUACAGGGAAGUGAUAGUACCUAACCUUCUUAGUAUGGGAUGUGCCCAGCUCUUGAUACGUGUUAGCAAUGUUACCAAAUUUCUCUCUUUGUGGCCUUAUGAACUUUAUGAACUGGCUCCAAGUGAGAAUGUGAGGAUCAAGGGGGCUAAUAGAUUCCAACUGGUCCCCUAAGGGGAGAAAGUGGGGAGUUAAAGAAGCUGAUGGUUGAAGUGCCCCAGCUGAGUGGACUCAGAGGCAACUGGACCCUCUCCGCAGGGACGAUUAACUCCUGGGUAGCAAUCUCACAUUCUUUUAGGUAAUAUGUUGUACUUCCUCAUUUCUGCUUAAACCGCCAACAAUUCUUCCCAUAGUUUCACUCUCAGCUAAUAACUUUGCAUCUUGUUUCACUGAGAAAAUACGGGUCAUUAGAAAAGAGCGUCAACAACCUCCCCCACCACGUUUACUUCCUGCCAGGGCUCUGUCCAUAUAUUCAGUUUUCUUUUUUUUCUUUUUCUUUUUUUUGAGACAGAGUCUUGCUCAGUCGCCCAGGCUGGAGUGCAGUGGUGCAAUCUUGGCUCACUGCAAGCUCCGCCUCCCGGGUUCACACCAUUCUCCUGCCUCAGCCUCUCCAGUAGCUGGGACUACAGGCGCCUGCCACCAUGCCCGGAUAAUUUUUUUUAUUUUUAUUUUUAUUUUUAGUAGAGAUGGGGUUUCACCAUGUUAGCCAGGUUGGUCUCGAUCUCCUGACCUUGUGAUACACCCGCCUCAGCCUCCCAAAGUGCUGGGAUUACAGGCGUGAGCCAUCGCGCCCGUCCCAUAUAUUCAGUUUUCAUUGUUAACUACCUGUGUUCUUUUCCAAGGCCAACAUUUUACUUAUUGCUAGAUCCCAUUCUUUCUUGCUUACUCAAGGACACUGCUCCAGCAUUUUUCCCUCUCUUUCCUGAAUCAUCAGUUUUUUUCUCUCUACUGGAACAUUCACAUCAGCAUAAAAACAUGCUGCUAUUUCUUUAUUGUGGAAAAAAACAAAAGCAAAACUCUUUAUCUCACAAUGAUUCGAGCUACUACCUCAUUGCUUUGCUUCCUUUUGUAGCAAAACCUAUUGAAAGAAGUCGUUGUUGCUGUUUUUAACAAUUGCUGCCUCCAAUUCUUCCUCUCACAUUCUUUCUUAUUUUCUUUCCUUUUCUUUUUUUUUUAGACGGUGUCUCACUCUGUUGCCCAGGCUGAAGAAGACCUCCAUGACUCUUCCCCACCGUGUGUGUGGGAAGUGCAGUGGCAUGAUCACGGCUCACUGGCUCACUGUAGCCUCAACUCCCAGGCUCAUGUGAUCCUUGCAUCUCAGCUCUUCGAGUAGCUGGAACUACAACCACCCACCACCAUGCCUGGCUAAUUUAUUUUAUUUUGUUUUAUUCUACUUUAUUUUAUUUUAUUUUUGUAGAGACAAGGUCUCAUUAUGUUGCCCGGGCUCGUCUUGAACUCCUGAGCUCAAGUGAUCCUCCCACCUCGGCCUGCUAAAGAACUAGGAUUACAGGCGUGAGCCACCAUACCUGGUCCUCCCAUCCUUUCUUGAACCCACUCCAAUCAGUCUUUCACAUUUACCACUCUAGCAAGACUGAAUUAUCAAGAUCACCAAUUGCCUCCAUAUUGCUAAAUCCAUGGUCAAUUCUCAGUUCUCAUCUUUCUUGACCACGUGGUAGAGAGAGGUUAGCUGUUCCAAGUCUCUUCUUUCUCCUGGGCACCAGCUGGAUCACAUUUUCCAGACUUAUUUGUAGCUAGGUGUGGUGAUAUUGCUGGGUUCUGACCAGUGGAAUGUGGGUGGAAGGGAUUUAUGUAACUUUCAAGCCUGACCCACAAAACCUUUCUGUGCUGGAGGUCUGCCCUCCUCUAUUCACCUUUUUCCACUCUACUCCUGCCUUAGGAGCCUAACCACUAGAUACUUUAUCAAUGAGCCUUCUGGUUUCUGACUGGGUCAAGUCAAUCAGAGGUAUCUGUAGGAGACUGGGAGGAAGAAGGAGAAUGAGGUCAGGGUACUUAUUCCCUUGGCUUCCUCUCUUUAGGGUUGCUUUGAAUUGGCCACUUCCUUUACUGAAGCUUCAGUUAGGCAUCUCACCCCACAUAGCUCUUCCUCUCUCCCAAUUCCACUAACCAUUAUUUUCUCUUGCCUCUUCAGACCCAGGGGUGGUAAAAGCUCCUACUGUCAAUCAUCUCUGGGUUAUAGCAAAUCCUUUGAUAGCUUUCCUGCCCCUGCUCACACCUUUAUAAGUAAUCUCUUUAUUAAACCUUUCUCAAAUUUGA
rnacentral:lncRNA from 10 species